rnacentral:lncRNA from 1 species
GAAUCUGAGAAAGUGGAUGGAAGCAUGAAGAAUACUUGUCUUUUCUUGCUUACAGGAAACAGCAGAUUUUCAGGAGAUGUAAUUGUGAAGAUAAUUAAGAGGGGAUGAAGAUGCAUUCAGCAUCUUUUUAAAGUAUCCCAUUAUCGUUGUUUGAUGUUGCAAGUUGAUGUUCAUCAAGUGUUCAUCCCGAGUCUUUUCCAUGACUAAAAUGCUACUGAGAAGGAAAACAUCUUUGUUGAUUCACCUGUUCAGUCAUCUAAUAACAUCUC